AGAGUUUGAUCCUGGCUCAGGAUGAACGCUGGCGGCGUGCCUAAUACAUGCAAGUCGAGCGAACGGACGAGAAGCUUGCUUCUCUGAUGUUAGCGGCGGACGGGUGAGUAACACGUGGAUAACCUACCUAUAAGACUGGGAUAACUUCGGGAAACCGGAGCUAAUACCGGAUAAUAUUUUGAACCGCAUGGUUCAAAAGUAAAAGACGGUCUUGCUGUCACUUAUAGAUGGAUCCGCGCUGCAUUAGCUAGUUGGUAAGGUAACGGCUUACCAAGGCAACGAUGCAUAGCCGACCUGAGAGGGUGAUCGGCCACACUGGAACUGAGACACGGUCCAGACUCCUACGGGAGGCAGCAGUAGGGAAUCUUCCGCAAUGGGCGAAAGCCUGACGGAGCAACGCCGCGUGAGUGAUGAAGGUCUUCGGAUCGUAAAACUCUGUUAUUAGGGAAGAACAUAUGUGUAAGUAACUGUGCACAUCUUGACGGUACCUAAUCAGAAAGCCACGGCUAACUACGUGCCAGCAGCCGCGGUAAUACGUAGGUGGCAAGCGUUAUCCGGAAUUAUUGGGCGUAAAGCGCGCGUAGGCGGUUUUUUAAGUCUGAUGUGAAAGCCCACGGCUCAACCGUGGAGGGUCAUUGGAAACUGGAAAACUUGAGUGCAGAAGAGGAAAGUGGAAUUCCAUGUGUAGCGGUGAAAUGCGCAGAGAUAUGGAGGAACACCAGUGGCGAAGGCGACUUUCUGGUCUGUAACUGACGCUGAUGUGCGAAAGCGUGGGGAUCAAACAGGAUUAGAUACCCUGGUAGUCCACGCCGUAAACGAUGAGUG
rnacentral:rRNA from 2 species